GUUUAGUGGUCAUUUUCUUCUAUAUUCAUUACGGUUGAAAUUCAUGUUUUUUGUUAAAAGAUCUCAGAUGUUAUAAAAAACGGCUCCCCUUCUAUGACGGUAUUAUGUAAAGUAUAAUCUUGUAUUAAUAUAGAUUGUUUUGAAUGCAGAGUUUGCGACUACAUGGCUUGUUAGUUCUCCUGCAUUGUUUUUGGGCUUUGACGGGUGGUUCGUGGUUGGUACUGCACAUUCAGCCAAUGUGCUCCCCUAUUUGAGACGGAAGAGGUUUCCUUUCACAACAAAUUUUUACAUGCUAAAGGCUAGAGCACUGGUUGUUCCCGUUGGAUAUUACAUGCAUAUGCAGGCACGAAAUUGAAACAGUGAUACCAAGAAUUCCUCAAAAGAUAGUGUUGUCAUAACUCACAACGGUUUGCUUUCACCGCCAAGUACUCCUUCUGCUGAACCUGAUUAUGAGAAUAAGAUUCUUUCAGAUGCAUUGCCUGAAAUUGUUCCUUAUGUCUUGAUUGAUCAUCGAGAGGAGCUUCUUCCUCUGAUGAUGUGUGCAAUUGAGCGUCACCCGAGUAGCAACACAAGGGAUUCCUUGACUCACACAUUGUUUAACUUGAUUAAGCGUCCAGAUGUUUUGGAAUCAAAUGGUGUAUGAAACCUGUUGUUGUAAACGAAUGGCGGUGACGAAGAAAGAAACAACAAGACAACAACAUCAGUAGAGUGACCGAGUGACUGAUCGAGUCAUUCUUGCUGAUACUGAUGUACUGUAUAUUGUUCAUGCAGCUGUAGCCUAAAGGCCUUUUAAUUUGAGAUAUUUAUACAAGCUUUUGUAGCAGUUCAACAAGUCCAAUCUGUUAACUAGCCAGCUUCAACUGCCACAACUAAACAAACGGACCCUCAGGAUGGGCAUUGGCGCUUGAAACUGCUCCAAGCUCUAAUGGGAGUGUCACAUCUACAAGCAAAUUGGUAAACACUUAUAGCUUGUCAUAGGGUGGCAAAGUUCAUGGCUGUUGUAAUUAAGUAGCACAAUGUGUUUUAAUAUCAAAUGAGAUCAAAAGUGGCAUUGAGUUAAUUAUUUUUGGUAGUAUCUGUUCUAUGUUUCAGUGUCUGUUAUUAUUUUUUCAUAUAAGUUUUAAGGUGUUCAUCUUA
rnacentral:lncRNA from 1 species